rnacentral:rRNA from 1 species
CACGGAGGGGCGAGCGUUAUUCGGAAUUAUUGGGCGUAAAGGGCAGGUAGGCGGCCUCGUAUGUCCUAUGUGAAAUCCCUCGGCUCAACCGAGGAACUGCAUGGGAAACUGCAGGGCUUGAGUCCGGGAGAGGGGAGUGGAAUUCCCAGUGUAGCGGUGAAAUGCGUAGAUAUUGGGAGGAACACCAGUGGCGAAGGCGGCUCCCUGGACCGGUACUGACGCUGAGCUGCGAAAGCCAGGGGAGCGAACGGGAUUAGAUACCCCAGUA